GGCUUGUUUGAAGGUAGUGAGUUAUGUAUUGCUCAAAGGCAGUUGCAUAUUAGACCCCUUUUCUAUACUUUCUCCUGUCACACUAUCACACCUGACAAGUUUAAA
ensembl:misc_RNA Y_RNA Y RNA